UGAUUAUACUCACCAGAACAACUACAUUAAGCUGUAAAUUGUAAAUGUUAGCAGUCUUUGAAAUAUAAUGCUAUACAUGCCCUUCUUUGUUCUUUGUUAAUUUGUUAAAUGUGUCUUUAUACGAUAUUACUCCUACAAUGCUUAUGUUAGCUAUACAGUGAAUUGUGGUUACUUUCUGAUGGAAUUGUGUAAUGUAGGCCAUUAUAGCGGAGAAGGAAAGAUUGUUGAG